UACAGAGGGUGCAAGCGUUAAUCGGAAUUACUGGGCGUAAAGGGCGCGUAGGCGGUUAUGUAAGUGAGAUGUGAAAUCCCUGGGCUUAACCUAGGAACUGCAUCUCAUACUGUGUAACUAGAGUAUUGUAGAGGGUAGUGGAAUUUCCGGUGUAGCGGUGAAAUGCGUAGAGAUCGGAAGGAACACCAGUGGCGAAGGCGGCUACCUGGACAAAUACUGACGCUGAGGCGCGAGAGCGUGGGGAGCAAACAGG
rnacentral:rRNA from 1 species